GAUGAACGCUGGCGGCGUGCCUAAUACAUGCAAGUCGAGCGAACGGACGAGAAGCUUGCUUCUCUGAUGUUAGCGGCGGACGGGUGAGUAACACGUGGAUAACCUACCUAUAAGACUGGGAUAACUUCGGGAAACCGGAGCUAAUACCGGAUAAUAUUUUGAACCGCAUGGUUCAAAAGUGAAAGACGGUUUUGCUGUCACAUAUAGAUGGAUCCGCGCUGCAUUAGCUAGUUGGUAAGGUAACGGCUUACCAAGGCAACGAUGCAUAGCCGACCUGAGAGGAUGAUCAGCCACACUGGAACUGAGACACGGUCCAGACUCCUACGGGAGGCAGCAGUAGGGAAUCUUCCGCAAAGGGCGAAAGCCUGACGGAGCAACGCCGCGUGAGUGAUGAAGGUCUUCGGAUCGUAAAACUCUGUUAUUAGGGAAGAACAUCUGUGUAAGUAACUGUGCACAUCUUGACGGUACCUAAUCAGAAAGCAACGGCUAACUACGUG
rnacentral:rRNA from 1 species